rnacentral:rRNA from 1 species
AUUGAACGCUGGCGGCAGGCCUUACACAUGCAAGUCGAACGAGUGGCGGACGGGUGAGUAAUGCCUGGGAAACUGCCCGAUGGUGGGGGAUAACUACUGGAAACGGUAGCUAAUACCGCAUAUCAUCGGAUCUGCCCAGAUGGGAUUAGCUAGUAGGUGGGGUAACGGCUCACCUAGGCGACGAUCCGUAGCUGGUCUGAGAGGAUGACCAGCCACACUGGAACGGAGACACGGCCCAGACUCCUACGGGAGGCAGCAGUGGGGAAUUUUGGACAAUGGGCGCAAGCCUGAUCCAGCCAUGCCGCGUGUAUGAAGAAGGCCUUCGGGUUGUAAAGUACUUUCAGCGAGGAGGCGUUACUCGCAGAAGAAGCACCGGCUAACUCCGUGCCAGCCGCCGCGGUAAUAC